UGGGCGUAAGCGGCUCGCAGGCGGUUUCUUAAGUCUGAUGUGAAAGCCCCCGGCUCAACCGGGGAGGGUCAUUGGAAACUGGGGAACUUGAGUGCAGAAGAGGAGAGUGGAAUUCCACGUGUAGCGGUGAAAUGCGUAGAGAUGUGGAGGAACACCAGUGGCGAAGGCGACUCUCUGGUCUGUAACUGACGCUGAGGUGCGAAAGCGUGGGGAGCGAACAGGAUUAGAUACCC
rnacentral:rRNA from 1 species